rnacentral:pre_miRNA from 1 species
GAAGGCAUACUAUCCACCGUGUUUUUGAUAAGAUGACAUGGGACAGGAUUUCUUUUCGCUGUUGUGUCAGUAUAUCAGACUCACACCUGGAGUGU